GUGGGGAAUAUUGCGCAAUGGGGGAAACCCUGACGCAGCAACGCCGCGUGAGUGAUGAAGGCUUUCGAGUCGUAAAACUCUGUCUUUGGGGACGAAUAAUGACGGUACCCAAGGAGGAAGCCCCGGCUAACUACGUGCCAGCAGCCGCGGUAAUACGUAGGGGGCAAGCGUUGUCCGGAAUCACUGGGCGUAAAGGGCGCGUAGGCGGUUUGUUAAGUCAGGUGUGAAAGUUUUCAGCUUAACUGGAAAAGUGCACUUGAAACUAACUUACUUGAGUACUGGAGAGGUAAGCGGAAUUCCUAGUGUAGCGGUGAAAUGCGUAGAUAUUAGGAAGAACACCGGUGGCGAAGGCGGCUUACUGGACAGAGACUGACGCUGAGGCGCGAAAGCGUGGGGAGCGAACAGGAUUAGAUACCCGAGUAGUCC
rnacentral:rRNA from 1 species